rnacentral:rRNA from 1 species
UACGUAGGGGGCUAGCGUUGUCCGGAAUCAUUGGGCGUAAAGCGCGCGUAGGCGGCCCGGUAAGUCCGCUGUGAAAGUCAAAGGCUCAACCUUUGAAUGUCAGCGGAUACUGCCGGGCUAGAGUCCGGAAGAGGCGAGUGGAACUCCUGGCGUAGCGGUGGGAUGCGCAGAUAUCAGGAAGAACACCAACGGCGAAGGCAGCUCGCUGGGACGGAACUGACGCUGAGGCGCGAAAGCGUGGGGAGCGAACAGG